CCCUCCAGCUGACAAUAGAAAGAGGUUGCAGUAUAUCCAGCAAUUCCAGAAGUAAGUGCAUAUAUAACCACCAGUGCAGUAAAUAGAGCUCCUCGAUUGUAUGGAUAAAAUACGCCAACCAAGGCAAGCAUAAAAAUAAAUACAGUGAGUGUAAACAACUGGGUGCCAGAACCAAGAGCAGCAGCAAACAAAGAUUUGUACUUUGGGUACCUAAAUACAUCACCAUGAAUGUACUUCCAUCCCGUCUCUUCCUGGUCAUCAGCAGCUUCCUCAUCUUGUGCAUACUUCAUGAAAUCAUUCUUCAAGACCCGCAUGAGAAUUGUAGCAAGAAAACCAGUCAAAAGGAGAACUGUCACACAAGAGUUUAUAAUUGAGAACCAAUGGAUUUCCAAGUGAUGUGGCAGCGAAGAAGACAGGGAGUACUUCUCCAUUCUCUUCUCAAAGGGAGUAUCUGUUUCCUUCCACUUCACAGUAUAAAAACUCUGCAUCAACUUCCUUGUCCUCAGUCAGAUCCAACAGUGAAUGAGGAUCCAU
rnacentral:misc_RNA from 1 species